UACAGAGGGUGCGAGCGUUAAUCGGAAUAACUGGGCGUAAAGAGCACGUAGGUGGAUAUACAAGCGAGUUGUGAAAACUCUGGGCUUAACCUGGAGCUGUCGAUUGAGACUGUAUAUCUAGAGUACAAUAGAGGGUAGUGGAAUUUCCGGAGUAGCGGUGAAAUGCGUAGAUAUCGGAAGGAACACCAGUGGCGAAGGCGUCUACCUGGGUUGUGACUGACACUGAGGUGCGAAAGCGUGGGUAGCAAAC
rnacentral:rRNA from 1 species